GACGAACGCUGGCGGCGUGCCUAAUACAUGCAAGUCGAGCGAGACUCUUCGGAGUCUAGCGGCGGACGGGUGAGUAACACGUGGGCAACCUGCCUGUAAGACUGGGAUAACACCGGGAAACCGGUGCUAAUACCGGAUAAUCCUUUUCCUCUCAUGAGGAAAAGCUGAAAGUCGGUUUCGGCUGACACUUACAGAUGGGCCCGCGGCGCAUUAGCUAGUUGGUGAGGUAACGGCUCACCAAGGCGACGAUGCGUAGCCGACCUGAGAGGGUGAGCGGCCACACUGGGACUGAGAGACGGCCCAGACUCCUACGGGAGGCAGCAGUAGGGAAUCUUCCACAAGGGACGAAAGUCUGAUGGAGCAACGCCGCGUGAGCGAUGAAGGCCUUCGGGUCGUAAAGUUCUGUUGUAAGGGAAGAACAAGUGCCGCAGGCAAUGGCGGCACCUUGACGGUACCUUGCGAGAAAGCCACGGCUAACUACGUGCCAGCCGCCGCGGUAA
rnacentral:rRNA from 1 species